rnacentral:rRNA from 1 species
AUUGAACGCUGGCGGCAGGCCUAACACAUGCAAGUCGAGCGGAUGAAGGGAGCUUGCUCCUGGAUUCAGCGGCGGACGGGUGAGUAAUGCCUAGGAAUCUGCCUGGUAGUGGGGGAUAACGUCCGGAAACGGGCGCUAAUACCGCAUACGUCCUGAGGGAGAAAGUGGGGGAUCUUCGGACCUCACGCUAUCAGAUGAGCCUAGGUCGGAUUAGCUAGUUGGUGGGGUGAAGGCCUACCAAGGCGACGAUCCGUAACUGGUCUGAGAGGAUGAUCAGUCACACUGGAACUGAGACACGGUCCAGACUCCUACGGGAGGCAGCAGUGGGGAAUAUUGGACAAUGGGCGAAAGCCUGAUCCAGCCAUGCCGCGUGUGUGAAGAAGGUCUUCGGAUUGUAAAGCACUUUAAGUUGGGAGGAAGGGCAGUAAGUUAAUACCUUGCUGUUUUGACGUUACCAACAGAAUAAGCGCCGGCUAACUUCGUG